UGAUUCUGUGAUGACUCAUUUGCGUUCACCUGGAUGGUGGCUGUUGGACACACACUGUGCUGGUUCCUUGGUACUGUCCUUACACCUCUCAGCGGUUCACAUGCCAUCAGUUCACAACUGAACCAGCUCUGAGGCACAGAGAAUGGACUCUCUCAUAUCACAUCAGAAGCUGAAAGGUGAUCCACCCACUUUACGGUCAUUCUGUAGGCAAAACCUGCAAAUGGAUAAUUCUAGGGAUGUAAGUUUGCUUUCGUCUGCACCAAAUGCGUUCAUGCAGCUAUUGACUCACCAGCUCUGCUCUCUGAAGGAUUCUUGCAAGCAACAUCUCCCCGAAUGGUUUCUUCAUAAACACUUC
rnacentral:lncRNA from 1 species